rnacentral:rRNA from 1 species
GACAGAGGUGGCAAGCGUUGUUCGGAAUUACUGGGCUUAAAGGGCGCGUAGGCGGUGGAGUAAGUCUGAGGUGGAAGGUCAGGGCUUAACCCUGAAAUUGCCUUGGAAACUGCAUCACUUGAGUCAGCGAGGGGAUGGCGGAAUUCCAGGUGUAGCGGUGAAAUGCGUAGAUAUCUGGAGGAAGGCCGGUGGCGAAGGCGGCCAUCUGGCGCUGAACUGACGCUGAGGCGCGAAAGCGUGGGGAGCAAACAGG